rnacentral:lncRNA from 1 species
AGAAACUGCACUUUGAGAUUGUCUAUCUCCAUAUUCUGAUGGAAAAGCGUGGAAUUUAGAAGCAUUGCUCGCUCCUUCAGUUUCUAACAAGCCAGUUCUUGGAGAUACUAGGAAGCCAAGAGUUCCCUCCAAGAAUGGAGAUUCCUUGGAAGUGAGG